UUUUUUUUCCUUUUGCUAUUUACUCCCUCUUCCCUAAGUCUGAUUUGCCUUUUGACGCGAAUACCCACAUUGGUGAUGCCCGCACCCGGUUACUCAGCUUUUUCAUGACCUAGAGUGUUUUACAUACUCAUAUCUUAAGCUACCUUUUGACGUAAAAACACACAUGGGGCACAUGCCUGCUCCUAGUUACUCAAUAACUCAAAACAUAGGAGUAGACAGGAGUAAAUUUUACAUUUAAGCACAAUACUUUACUGCUC
rnacentral:lncRNA from 1 species